ensembl:lncRNA
UCUACUCUUCUCUUCUCUUCUCUUCUCUUCUCUUCUCUUCUCUUAUUUUCUCUUCUCUUCUCUUCUCUCCUCUUCUCUUCUCUUCUCCUCUCUUCUCUUCUUUUCUCGUCUCCUCUCUUCUCUCCUCUCCUCUCCUCUUCUCUUCUCUUCUCUUCUCUUCUCUUCUCUUCUCUUCUCUUCUCUUCUCUCUCUUCUCUUCUCUUCUCUUCUCUUCUCUUCUCUUCUCUUCUCUCCUCUCCUCUCCUCUCCUUUUCUCUACUCUUCUCUCCAGGUCUCAUCAAGAGCUCCAUGUUCAGAGCAGCGGUGUCCUCCACCAGUGCUGUUCUCACAUGGACGUCCCCGGGACCAGAGCACAGUGUGUGUGUGUGUGUGUCUGACAGGUGUUGGCCACCCUCUCAAACAGACUCACACACACACACACACACCUACCAGCUCCCAGGGCUAAACCCUGCGACUACUUACGCCCUCAUGGUGGAGCAGGAGACACUCAUGAGACACAGCAGGAUAACUCUUCUGCAGAAACUCCAGUUUCUCAUUGAGACAGCUCAGUGUCCAGUGGGCUGGCUGGCAGUGGGUUGGAGCUGUUUUCGAGUGUGGCAGAAGGUGUGUGUGUGGCCAGAGGCCCAGCAGGCAUGUGCUAGGGCAGCCUCAGGGGUCCAUCUAGCAGACCUUCACACAGAGGAGGAGUUAGAGGCAGUGUCCAGCUAUCUUCUGUCCCAUAGCCACCUGCUGCUGCUGUGGACGGGCCUCAAUGACCAACAGACAGAGGGUGUGCUUCAGUGGUCAGACGGCUCCCCUUAUAACCUGUCAGUUCCUGUGACAUCAGCUCUUUCAGCCAAUCAGACGGACUGUUUCGCACUGCAGAGGAAUGCUACUGGUCCAAGCUACUUCCUGACUGCUUUCUUCUGUGAUAUAGCCCUCCCAUACCUCUGUCAUGCUGAGUGUGAGUGUGAGUGUUUGUGUGUGUGUGUGUGUGUGUGUGUGUAGCCCUCCCAUACCUCUGUCAUUCUGAGUGUGAGUGUGUGUGUGUGUGUAGCCCUCCCAUACCUCUGUCAUGCUGAGUGUGAGUGUGUGUGUGUGUGUGUGUGUGUGUGUGUGUGUGUAUAGCCCUCCCAUACCUCUGUCAUGCUGAGUGUGAGUGUGAGUGUGUGUGUGUGUGUGUGUGUGUGUGUAUGAGGGGCCGUGUAGGCCAUAAUUCAAACUUGCCUCUCAUACACACCAUUGAAGACCUUUUGCCUUUCACAAACACUACUGAAAUACACUCACAUUCAGUACUAAACACCCCUCACGUACACUAGUGAAAAUGGAACCUCACACAAUGACAACUGAAAACCUCUCAUACUCAUGAGUGAGAACCUCUCUUAUACCACAGUGAACACCUCUCACACAUACAACUGAAAAUGUAACCUCUCACACAUACAACUGAAAAUGUAACCUCUCACACAUACAACUGAAAAUGUAACCUCUCACACGCACAACUGAAAAUGUAACCUCUCACACGCACAACUGAAAAUGUAACCUCUCACACGCACAACUGAAAAUGUAACCUCUCACACGCACAACUGAAAAUGUAACCUCUCACACACACAACUGAAAAUGUAACCUCUCACACGCACAACUGAAAAUGUAACCUCUCACACGCACAACUGAAAAUGUAACCUCUCACAUUCAUUACUGAAAAUGUAACCUCUCACACGCACAACUGAAAAUGUGACCUCUCACACACAACUGAAAACGUAACCUCUCACAUUCAUUACUGAAAAUGUAACCGUUCACAUGCACAACUGAAAAUGUAACCUCUCACACACAACUAAUUAUAGUCUUGUGGUGAUAUCGCCGCUGCAUUAUGUACCCAGUUUGGAACGACACAGGGUUUUUCUGAGAGGAAUGUGCGGAGGUGGUGUGCUGAGCAGGGGCCUUGUCAGUGACUUUUUUGCAAUGCCUCUAUCCAUUGAAUAGGGAAUGUAUUUCACAUAUGUGUAGAACC